rnacentral:rRNA from 1 species
GCGCAGCAGGCGCGAAUCCUUCGCAAUGCGGGAAACCGCGACGAGGGGACUCCCAGUGCCUACGCUCAGCGUAGGCUGUUCCCGAGCCUAGAAAGCUCGGGGAGUAAGGGCUGGGUAAGACGGGUGCCAGCCGCCGCGGUAAUACCCGCAGCCCGAGUGGUGGCCACUAUUAUUGGGCCUAAAGCGUCCGUAGCCGGCCCGGUAAAUGCCUGGGUAAAUCGUGAGGCCUAACCUCACGAAUUCCGGGUAGACUGCCGGGCUAGGGACCGGAGGAGGGAGAGGGUACUCCAGGGGUAGGGGUGAAAUCCUGUAAUCCCUGGAGGACCACCGGUGGCGAAGGCGCUCUCCUAGGACGGGUCCGACGGUGAGGGACGAAAGCCAGGGGAGCGAACCGGAUUAGAUACCCCGGUAGU